UCUGUUAACACUAUCAAACCAGAAUAAUGAUUGUGGAGUGAGAUAGAUUUAUCUUUUCAUUUGCAGGGACCUGCUAAUUAGGGCUUUGUUCCUACAAGCAUAUAUGACAGUACUGUUUUGUUUGCUGCUCUAUUUAGUUUGAUGCAAGUAUUCACAUGCAUGAAUCUACACUUUUGUGCACAGCCCCAAUCCGAAUGGGAUGCAUAGCUGGCUACAUAGUCAUGAUAUGUCAUGUGUUGCACGGCAGCAUAUGUCACACUUUGCAGUAAUAUGGGGAGUUUACCUAAAAUCUUUUGGUCCUUUUCCUCUUCCUCAUACACCUGUACGUAGCAAUAAUUUGCAUAAUCAAAGCCUAAAAUCCAGUAUCUUAAAUUUGUCAGUUCCCUGAGCUGAAGCUGCAAGGGCUGGAAAUGCCAAAUUCACUUUUUCAUUUGUGUAUUUGAGCAAAUCAGACUUGAGGACAUAGAGACUUCAACUCAGGGCUCUGUAAUGCAGUUUUUGUAACUCCUGUUCUUUUUAAAGAAAUAUUAUAAUGUUUUAAGGUACACAAUUGUGCCUACAGUAGGCGUGGCAUUGAAGUAUUACAGUAAAUAACAGGAAUUUGCCUUAAAAAUAGACAUCAAAAUCACAAUUAAUUUUCAUAUUAAAAGAGCACCCUAGAAGAGUUAGGGUUGAUAGUUCAAAACAAUUACAUUGGAGAAAUCUCAAAGAGAAUAAUUACCAAAGAUCUGAAAAAUGUGUGUUAGUAAAGGGCCACAGAAGAGAUUCAAUAGUAAAGUAAGCAACUUUACCUGAAAUGCCUAAAAUACGAUUUGCUAAUGGCAAAAGGUGAAGGAAACCAAAGCAAGGGCAGUACCUCCUUUCUGCGUCAAGACAGUCUUCCCUCAAGGACAUGAGCUAAAGUACACAUGGGCUCUCCCUCCUGUAAGUCUGUAGGAAGGGUGCUGAACAACAGGAUUGAUUUCUGCUGAAGCUGAUGGUUUCUUACAGAAAGAAAGAUUUGUCUUAUGCUAUCCUUGCAAAAAUUACAUCACAGGAUUGUACUUGCCAAGUUGAGCACAGUUAAAUAUGAAGACAAAUUAACACCUUUUCUCCUUUGAACAGCUGAGCUCCAGGAGGUCCAACUAACAGUGGUGACCCAGGUGGCCCAGGAAGUCCAAUGUCACCCUGUGGAAGCCAAAGGAACAGCAGAGACACAUUUUGUUCCAUACAACAUUUCAGUGGGACUCAGCAUGUCUUCCUGUUGUACUACAGCACUACACAUUUCUGUACUCAUUGAACAUGUUCUUGUACUAGUAACUGUAGAUAAAAGGUUUGUAUUGCCAUCUCUAAGCCUCUUUACUGUCUUCCCAGAUGAGCAAGGCUGAUGAUCCUAAUCCCCUCCUAUUCUCUUCAACCAUUAAAAAUAACAUUAUGGCUAAAAAGAUACAUGAGAACUCUGUACUCGUGGUUCCUGCUCUGAGUCUGCUGUGGAGAUAGUUACAGGAUUGUCAAAUCUCUUGUGUGCACAGUGUCUCUCAUGUUCCAGACCAAAGCCUUUCAGCACAAGGCUUUGUGAAUGCAAAGAUGAAAUUAUUGAUUUGCUAUGGAAAGUUGUGCAUGUUAGAAACUUGCAUAAAUUCCAAGUUGUCACUGGACAAAUUCACAGAAGAAAAAUCAAAUAUUCCUCAUUAGUUCUGUAAGUCCUGAGUAUGCUAAUAGGUGGAAACUGGGAGAUAAACUAUUACUAUGUGCUUCUUUUCUUAAACCUUUCCUUGGCAUCUGUUGCUGGACAUAGCAAGAGAUGAGAUUCAGUGACUGAUCUGGUACAGCCACUGUUACUGGAGAGUACUGUUGUGUUCUGAUUAUUCAGGCAGUGUCUGUACAGAAGGUAAUUUCUAUAUAAUUGCUAACUAACAUAUUGAUUGUUGCUUUUCAAAACCUCCAGAAUACACUUGAUUCCUGUAUGCAGCUCACUGAAGGAAUCACUUCUGCACAGAAUUAAUUGAUUCAAUAAUUUACUUCUCCUUCCAUUCUAAUGUGCUUAGUGUGAGCACACAGCUGCACAUGAAUGGGUUCCAGGAAACCCAGCAAGACUCUAUUACACUUCUAAUUCCACAGCAAUAAUAUAUUUAAUAAUAUUUGUUUUCUUACCGGCUCCCCCUUUUGUCCAUCCACUCCAAUACCUGGAUUUCCCUAAUUGACAGAAAACGUACACAGGUUGAAGAAAAUCAGAAAAUGCUGAAAUUAGAAUUUGAUCAAAUAACUCCUUUGAAAAACUUAGUAACAAAUAACCAUAGGGACAUUUCAAAUGUUUGUAUAAAUUACUCUUUUAUUUCACUCACAACUUCAGGAAAAAUCAUGGCCUACCUGUUCACCUGGCAAACCAGGGUAACCUGGAAUACCCUUUAAAAGAGAAUGAAGACAAGUUAGUAUGUCUGAUUUAGACAGCUUUGCUUUGAAAAUUACAUACUCUUGCUGGUAGCACCUAGAGGCAGAAUUUCCUCUUGGGAUGAGGAAAGUGCAAUUUACUUCACCUGGUCACUGCUUUCAGGAGGGCUGAACUCUGGCUUCCCACUUUCCUGACUCCCACAAGGUGGCCUUGGGGAAAGGGAAUAAGGAGAAAGCAGUAGCAGCAUUCCUCCAUUACCACAGACUGCCAGAUGAAAUGUGUUCACCCAGGCACGGGAAGGAACAAUAUAUGCUACAAUUCCUGAACUUCAAAACUCAUAAGACCAGCUGGUCCUGUAGAUCCCAAGGGCCCAAUCGGACCUUGAGCUCCCAGCUCACCAGGCUGACCCUGAAAAGAGUCCAAAGUCUCCAGCACCACCUAUCUGAGAUGCCUGGGUUAAACUGCAAGUCUUCCUGGCUCUACCAAUAUGCUGUAGCUGGACACUGUAUUUGAAGAACAGCCUCACAGAGACCUUUCAGUGAGGACACUGGAGUGAUCCUGUUCCUACUCCACAUUCUGAGCAGCCAGCAUUUUGUGGGGUCUCUGAUACAACACUACGGGAGUUAUCAAUGAAAUUACUUCCCAAGUAGAGAAAGUGGAGGAAAUGGAGGAAAGGUUUCACUGUCUGUUGGACAUAUCAGGAGAAAAUUACAAUUGUGGAAUUUAUGGGAGACCUAAGAGAAAGAGGCGAGAAAAAUCUCAAAUGAUGAAGUUGCUCUUUGCCUCUGAUUAAAAACAUUGACUGCUACUGCCUAGUGGAAAACCAUACAUCUUGCUUGGGAAAGAAGAGGCAGAAGAAAGUAUCAGUUAGUCCAGACUGGCACUAAAAAUUAUGUAAAAUACUUAUUGGGAUAUAUACUUUCACUGAUGACUUUCUCCCCUCAUUAUCUAUUCCAUAGUUCUUGAAUGAAUAUGUACAGUAGCACACAGUAUAUGCAGAGAUUUAACACAUCUUGACAUGUCCUAUGUAAGAAAGAGUCCAUGUAAGAGUCUUCCAUGUCCUACGGAAGAAAGAGUCUUUUUGAGCUAUGACAUAAGAUCAAAAGAUAAAUAGAAUAAUGUAAAACUAAUUCUAACAGGGCUGUAAUCCCAA